GAAAGGCAGCCGCUUGUUUACAAGAGGAAAGUCCGGGCAGCACAGGGUAUGGUAGUCGCUAACGGCGACCGUCCGCAAGGAUAGGGAAAGUACCACAGAAACGAAACCGCCGAUGGCCGGCGUGCCGGUGUCGGUAAGGGUGAAAAGUGUGAGGUAAGAGCUCACGGUGUUUGAUGGCGACAUCAAACAGAGGCAAACCCUACCAGCUGCAAGGAGCACUAGUCAACCUUGACCCGAGGAUGUGCGCUCACCGCUGGAACCGAGAAGCAAUUUUCGGUCUAGAUAGAUGGCUGCCGAUUGGGGCUGACGCUUCAAUCACAGAACCCGGCUUACUGA
rnacentral:RNase_P_RNA from 1 species